UACGGGGGAUGCGAGCGUUAUCCGGAUUUAUUGGGUUUAAAGGGCGCGUAGGCGGGACGUCAAGUCAGCGGUAAAAGACUGCAGCUAAACUGUAGCACGCCGUUGAAACUGGCGACCUGGAGACGAGACGAGGGAGGCGGAACAAGUGAAGUAGCGGUGAAAUGCAUAGAUAUCACUUGGAACCCCGAUAGCGAAGGCAGCUUCCCAGGCUCGUUCUGACGCUGAUGCGCGAGAGCGUGGGUAGCGAACAGG
rnacentral:rRNA from 1 species